UGUUUCCAAUAAAUAACUUUAUUCUUUUAGAAUGAAAAUCUAACGUGCAACACAUACACCACAGAAAC
rnacentral:tRNA from 1 species